rnacentral:rRNA from 1 species
GAUGAACGCUGGCGGCGUGCCUAAUACAUGCAAGUCGAGCGAACGGACGAGAAGCUUGCUUUUCUGAUGUUAGCGGCGGACGGGUGAGUAACACGUGGAUAACCUACCUAUAAGACUGGGAUAACUUCGGGAAACCGGAGCUAAUACCGGAUAAUAUUUUGAACCGCAUGGUUCAAAAAUGAAAGACGGUCUUGCUGUCACUUAUAGAUGGAUCCGCGCUGCAUUAGCUAGUUGGUAAGGUAACGGCUUACCAAGGCAACGAUGCAUAGCCGACCUGAGAGGGUGAUCAGCCACACUGGAACUGAGACACGGUCCAGACUCCUACGGGAGGCAGCAGUAGGGAAUCUUCCGCAAUGGGCGAAAGCCUGACGGAGCAACGCCGCGUGAGUGAUGAAGGUCUUCGGAUCGUAAAACUCUGUUAUUAGGGAAGAACAUAUGUGUAAGUAACUGUGCACAUCUUGACGGUACCUAAUCAGAAAGCCACGGCUAACUACGUG